rnacentral:tRNA from 1 species
GGAAGUGGAAAGGGCACUGGUGGCCCUCCCGGACUUCAAAUCCGGUGUAACGGGUGAGUAACCCGUUAGGUGGGUUCGAUUCCCAUGCACUUCCGCCA